rnacentral:snRNA from 1 species
AUGCUGGCAGAAUGUAAGUGCCCUUGUGGCUGUGACUUAGAUUUGUAUUCAUUGCACUGGGAUAUGCUGACCCCUAGGAUUUCCACAAAUGUGGGAAACUCAUCUGCAUUAUUUGUAUUAGUGGGGGGACUGUUUUCACGCUUUCCGCUG